rnacentral:ncRNA from 1 species
UAAAAGUUUUAUUCUAGCUAAGGAAUUUCCUGGUAGGUUGUUUCACAUGUGAGGUUUUACGAGAGUGAAAGGGUGAUCUAAAAGGUCCUUCAUUUGGCAAUAGUCGCAGUGUUUGAUAUUGGGGGUCAGAUAAAUCUGGAGCCAGCAAUUUUUUUUAGCCCCGGCCAAAUUCGUGCCAGCCGCCGCGGUUACACGGAAGGGACAAGGAUAUUUUAUUGGUUUGUAAUUAGUUGUGGGUUAGGUUGAAAGAAAGAUUUUGUUAGGUGAAAUUUUAAAGUUUAAGUUAACCAAUGAUGGGUAAAUGAAGUUAUGAAACUUAGGUAAUAAACUAGGAUUAGAUACCCUAUUAUUCUGAGCGUUAAUGUUGAACCAGAGUAGUAAGAGAUAGGAUCUUGAAACUCAAAGAAUUUGGCGGUGUUUUAGUCCAUUCAGAGGAAUCUGUCCCAUAAUCGAUAAUCCACGUUUACUUAACUUAGUUUGGUUUUCAGCUUGUAUACCGCCGUCAAAAGAGUGAUUCUAGAGAAUAUCCUCUAAUACCUUAAAUGAGGUUUAUGUCAGGUCAAGGUGCAGCUUAUGGCUAAGGGGAGAUGGAUUACAAUAAGUUUACUUAGACGGAAAGUAAGUUGCAAAAGUUAUUAAAAGGUGGAUUUGAGUGUAAUGAAAUUUAGAUAAAUUUUAUGAAAUAGGCUCUAAAACAAGCACACAUCGCCCGUCGCUCUCGUUUCUUAAGGCGAGAUAAGUCGUAACAAAGUAGGUGUACCGGAAGGUGCUUCUAGAAAGUC